AGGCAGGGUGACCUCUGCUAAGGAUCCCAGGACAGGGUUUUCUUGUGAGAAAAAGGACAAGGGUGUGAGGGAAUCUGCCCAGAGGGUAGAGCCAGCCUCUACUAUUCUGCUAGGACCAAACUCCUCCUGAAGUUCAUGAGGACUGCUACAUAGAGGAACUUGGUGGAGUAGGGACUUUUUGGCCAAAAAAAAAAAAAAAAAAGCUGAGUCAGGCCCCUCUGGGACUGUAGUGAAGGAGCCCUUUUCUGCCCUCACCCAAAAGAACCCCCACCCAUCCCCCACUUCUCACUGAGGAGGUGGAGGGGUGACAAGGGACUGGACAAGACGCCCCGCAGACUCUCUAGCCAUUCUCGCUGUUCCUUUUCAGUGGGGCAGGUGAAGAUGAAUUUCCGCUCCGGAGUGAUGACGAAAAACCUGGCCCAGCUCAAAAGCAUCCUGAAAAUGGAAGGCAUAGAGUCAUCAGAGGCCUUGGGGCAGAAGAGCCCUUGCAGCCUGGCCAGUCCCAAGGUCAAGUUUGGUAAAGAGGUGUACGUGGUCCAAAGGUUAGGACUGAAUGGCCUGGGCACAGGAGUGACCUAGAACUGUACAUCUGACCCAAACAGGUCACCUGGAGCUCUGGGUUGCUCUGAGCUGUAUAGGCCAAAAGUUAGAGACCGACUGGAAGCCCUCCCUGGUGCUUGCUGGGCAGGACAGCAAGCACCUGCAAGAGGAUUCGCGGCCAGCUGCAGUUAUUAGUCAGCCUGAGAGAAAGAUGGCUGACAAGAGCCAUGAGAGUAUAGACCCAGUCACACAUGAGUCCCCGGUGUGGCUUCUCCAUCCUUCUCCUUUUCCUUGGUCAUGUUUGAGCUCCUGGUAUUAUGAUCUUCUUCUUUUUCUUCCCUCUUGUUUCCUCUUUUAUAAAAAAAAUAUACAUUUAUU
ensembl:antisense Adap2os ArfGAP with dual PH domains 2, opposite strand